rnacentral:rRNA from 1 species
UACGUAGGGUGCAAGCGUUAAUCGGAAUUACUGGGCGUAAAGCGUGCGCAGGCGGUUUUGUAAGACCGAUGUGAAAUCCCCGGGCUUAACCUGGGAACUGCAUUGGUGACUGGCAGGCUUUGAGUGUGGCAGAGGGAGGUAGAAUUCCACGUGUAGCAGUGAAAUGCGUAGAGAUGUGGAGGAAGACCGAUGGCGAAGGCAGCCUCCUGGGCCAACACUGACGCUCGAUGCACGAAAGCGUGGGGA